AAUUAAUAAGCUUUUAAAAGCAUUUGUUUUGAAAACUUAAGAAAGAAAAUAUAUUUCUAUUAAUUU
rnacentral:tRNA from 1 species